AUACGUAGGGUGCAAGCGUUAAUCGGAAUUACUGGGCGUAAAGCGUGCGCAGGCGGUUUUGUAAGACAGAGGUGAAAUCCCCGGGCUCACCCUGGGGAACGCCUUUAUGACUGCGAGGCUAGAGUACGGCACAGGGGGGUGGAAUUCCGCGUGCAGCAGUGCAAUGCGUAGAUAUGCGGAGGAACACCGAUGGCGAAGGCAAUCCCCUGGGCCUGUACUGACGCUCAUGCACGAAAGCGUGGGGAGCAAACAGGAUUAGAUACCCUGGUAGUCCACGCCCUAAACGAUGUCAACUGGUUGUUGGGUCUUCAUUGACUCAGUAACGAAGCUAACGCGUGAAGUUGACCGCCUGGGGAGUACGGCCGCAAGGUUGAAACUCAAAUGAAUUGACGGGG
rnacentral:rRNA from 1 species